rnacentral:lncRNA from 1 species
UUAAAUAUAAUGUAUAACAAAUAUAUAUUUAAUUUAUUUGAGGCUUCAAGGCUCUGCCUAUGGUCUGCCAUUGCGAACGUAUAUCACUAAUAUUGUAACAUAACAAAGAUAUCUAAAAAUUUGGAAACAAAAUCUUUAAAAAAAAUGAUAGCACCCAAUAUUAUCUCUUAGCAGAAUAAAGGUCUCCCCUCAUGAAAUCAUCACCAGGGAGUUUUCAGGUGGCAUGUCAUAGUCUUGAAACUUUGAAUUCGCUGCAACAACAGAUCAACCAAAGAUACCAAUAUGGAAGAACACACCGACACUGCGGAAACCAGCAAAGUAAACCCUUCUCCGGCGUCCAUUACUGGAGAAGGAGCGAUAUCUUGUGCUAUGUUUCCGGACACGUAAAACAGUGCCACAAUUAGAGAUGUCAAACGGGUUGGGUCGGGUGAGUUUUUGCUCACCCCGAAAUCGACCCGAUUUUAAACAUACAAAAUAUGAAUUUGAUUCGAUCCGAUAAUUUUUUUAUUAUUUUUAUACACAAAUCCAAUCUGAUCCGAUAUUGUAUAAAAUCAUAUCUUAUCUGAAAUUAAUAAAAUAUUAUUUUCAAUAUAAAUAUAAAAAUAAAUAUAUAUAUAAAUAAUUAUAAAAUUAAAUAAAUAUUUAAAAAUUAUUUUUAUAUAUAUCAUAUCAGAUUUACUUAAAACUCAACUUCGACCCGACCUCGAUUUUUUUUUAUGCCACCCAACCCGAUACUCAUUUAAAAAAAAAAUUGACUCUAAAAAAUCAGCUCGGAUCAAAACUCAUCGAUUUCAGGUUUUUUUGCCUUCUCUAGCCACAACAAACGUUGCCAUCGCAAUCUGAGCUGCAGAGAUCCCAAACACUGCCAUUGACGCUUAACACAAAAUGUAGAGACGACGAGAGUAGGGAAAUUAAUUGAGGUUAGAAUUGUUUGGUUUUUG